UACAGAGGGUGCGAGCGUUGUCCGGAAUCACUGGGCGUAAAGGGCGCGUAGGCGGCCAUACAGGUCAGCUGUGAAAACUCGAGGCUCAACCUCGAGACGUCGGUUGAAACCGUUUGGCUAGAGUCCGGAAGAGGAGAGUGGAAUUCCCGGUGUAGCGGUGAAAUGCGCAGAUAUCGGGAAGAACACCCGUGGCGAAGGCGGGUCUCUGGGCCGAUAUCGACGCUGAGGAGCGAAAGCGUGGGGAGCGAACAGG
rnacentral:rRNA from 1 species